UGUGCUGUUGCUAUAAAAGCGUGCAAAAAUGCUGGAAGGAAAAGACGAAUAAAAACAGCGGCAGCAGUGGCAGCACAUCGACUCUUGUGAACCUGAGAUGUCGCUCUCUUUCCCCAUGGGUUACUAUAAAGUUGAACAAAGGUGCAAAUGGAUCAAUAACAAUGUGAAGCUUCAACCUUGCACAGGAUCCAUGAGAGGAGAAGGCCUCAGCUGACUCGCCCUAAAGGAGUGCCAUUACCUAAACACCAUGCGGCCGAGAUGCCUUGUCUGGAGAUUGGAUUGCUGAUCCUUAUGUCACCAGGAGCAGAGACCAGCACAGCAUUUCUUAGGAGGCGGUUAAGCGGAGUAAUGCACGCUUGGUCCUACAACUGAUCACCACACACCAGCCCAAUGAAACAUGGCUGACCUCCCGACUGUGAAGGCCUGAUGAUGCUUCACAAGAAGAAAUCAGUGCUCUUUCAAGAAAUCUUUCAUGCAAUCAGAAGGAUGGGAGUUCGAGCCCAGCACUGUGCAGUCGAUGUAUCUUUGGGCAAGAUGCUUAACCCAGAGUCGGUCCCGAUGGCUAACGUUGUGUGAAAGUGUUGUAUGAUUGUAAGCUUACUUGAGCAAAGCAAUUAAUAGGUGACUUGUAGUAUUUAAAGUGCUUUGAGGGGUCAUAAAGUCUGGAUUAAGCUCUAUAUAAGUACAUUCCAUUUCAUGUGUCACUUUUAAUAAUAAACUCUUUUUGUGUAUAA